rnacentral:rRNA from 1 species
CACGUAGUUAGCCGGGGCUUCUUACUCAGGUACCGUCAACUUCUUCCCUGCUGAUAGAGCUUUACAUACCGAAAUACUUCUUCACUCACGCGGCGUCGCUGCAUCAGGGUUUCCCCCAUUGUGCAAUAUUCCCCACUGCUGCCUCCCGUAGGAGUUUGGGCCGUGUCUCAGUCCCAAUGUGGCCGGUCGCCCUCUCAGGUCGGCUACUGAUCGUCGUCUUGGUGGGCCGCUACCCCGCCAACUAACUAAUCAGACGCGGGUCCAUCUCAUACCACCGGAGUUUUUCACACCGGACCAUGCGGUCCUGUGCGCUUAUGCGGUAUUAGCAGUCAUUUCUAACUGUUAUCCCCCUGUAUGAGGCAGGUUACCCACGCGUUACUCACCCGUCCGCCGCUCAGUCAAUCUUAAUUCCAUCCGUAAACUUCCUUAACAUUGCUUCGCUCGACUUGCAUGUGUUAGGCACGCCGCCAGCGUUCAUCCUGAGCCAGGAUCAAACUCU